CCGGUGAUUAAUAAAUCAAUGUGUCUUGUGGUGUUGUUAAACAAAACACACUUCUAACUUUUGUUUCGAAAACAUUCACCUGUGAACAACAACAUAAAAUGUUAAACAGUUACUGGCAAAAGAAACUGAUGUAUAAGGCAUAUUGUAUUCAGCAGUAUAUUGUUUUAUCGUUUUGUUUGUUCUGAACGUUGCAUUCAUUAUUAUUGUCAUUUCUCAUUUCUGCAAAACAUCUCUAGUUAUGAGGUUGUGAUUUUUUAGAAACCGCUUUACCAACAUGUUGGUUAAAAUAUUUGUCUUAAAUAUUGGAAGAAACUCUGGCAUGCAUUUACUAUUUCAACUGUUUGCUAUAGUAACAGUUCUAGAUUUGGCGAAGUCUUCAAGUUGCGACAAGGAUGUUACUUAUAUAAGAGAUGACGUCUUUUCUAAUUUACGUUUGACGGAGGGCACAAUUGAUACUCAUGAUGGAGUGAAAACUCACGCCAUGUGCGCUGUAAGAUGUAAAAGGGAUCCUGACUGUGUGUCGUUCUUUUUCAAGAAUAAGUCCGGCAUCUGCCAGAUUAAUUCCGUGAUUUAUCUUUCAACAGCAGGAUCAGAAAGCAGUGUAGGAAGUGUAUACUUCAGAAAAAAAAUGGAGUGUCCUGCCCCGCCGUCAGUACCCAACUCUCAACCUCAGUUUGAUGUGAUCUCUCCCCCUAACGCCACAGGGACAGUACUCCAAUAUACGUGUGAUGGUGGCUACACACCAGAGGGAAAUGUCACGUGUCGAGUAGAUGGAACGUGGACUCAGAUGACCUGCCAUGGUGGUUUUUUUAUAUGAUCAUUAUUAAUAAAUGAACCUGUGGAAACAAAUCUUGUUAUAGUCUUCACUACCCGACGUUACAAAUGGAGCCCAACGUUUUGUGAUCGAGAAAACCAGACAUCAACCAGACCUACAGCCUUAGAGGUGUGAUUCAGUCGGCCCACAGCCAAAUGUGACGACAGUGGAGAACAACACGGGACAUCCGAGCGGACGCGACGGACAAGUUCACCGAGGUACUCUGUGGUGGUGUUUUUCGUGGUGACUAUCGGCUAGCUAGCUACAUUUUUGUUUUUGUGUGUCUAUUGCAAGAUUGACAUUCGUUGAUUCUUUUGGAUAACUUUUCAAGACAGUUUCUGAAGUGACAACUGUGUAUUGUACUUUUGUUACUGUGUUACUAUAGUAACUACUGACUGCACGUGCUGGAUAUGCGCGGUUGACUUUUUCGUUGGUGUAACGUGUGAGGUGUUUUCAGACCAGCGGCGUGUUACGUGUACACUGUACAAGUUCUAGAUGUAUGUAUGUUUAUUUUUAUAUACCUGAUGUUUUUAUGACUUUUAUUGUCAGUGAAUAGUGUUACAAUAAGUUGAUAUUUUUUUAUAAAUUACGUGUUUUUUUCAAUAGGUUAUUAAACGUGAAUACUCGUACACUGUGAAAUUUCCGAGAGUAUUUUCGUAUUUCCGGAAAUACCCGAGUAUGUAAUCGUAAUUUUUCGUUUUUCCGGAAAUAUAUCAUAGUUAUUAGGUCAAAGAUCUGAUGUGACAGUUUUUUUGUGUCAGUGUUGACACUAUUGAUUACAAAUAACAUAGAUCUCAGAUUAGUUUAUUUAGUGUUAACUUUCUUCACAUAUCCUUUUCGGACUUAUAUAAUUAUAAUUUUUUUGACAAUAUAUUUACAGUAAUUGUUAUUUAAUAGUUUUGUAAAUGUGAUUUGUUUUCUUAAAUGAUAUAUGUUAGAUUUUUUUUCUCUCUCUCUCUUUAGUAAAUAGUCAGCUGUUAUUGUAGACUGGUGCAGAUUUUGUAUUUGUUUUGUUUUUGAUCAAACAUUUUUGAUUUUGUUCAAUUAUUUUAUUUUAAGUUGGGUUUUUUUUUUUACUGUGAAUCAAACUUGGAAGUUGUUAGUAUUGGUGAUUAGUGUAUAGGCCUACACAUUUAAAAUAUUUUUUGAUUUUUGAUUUGGUUUUGUCUGGUUAUUUCACUUUGAUGGGAAAAUGUUUUCGAAAAAGUGAAUACUCAUUGUAUAUUUAAAAUUUUGUGCACUCGAACAGUAUAUAUUGUUGAAAACAGGUUAAGAAUUCUGAUUAAUAAGCCUACUCAUUGAAAAUAUGUGAAAAAAAAUAAUAUAUUUUUUUUACUCUUUCUUUCUCUCUAGUUAGGCUCUAUUUUUUCAUACACACCCAUAUUAAUCUAUGCAGUUAACUGAUUAGUUUUUUUAGCACUUGACAAAGACGGAUACAUAUUGGACAGAUUCACAUACGACAGUUGAUUUUCAGGUGUAUAUUUAAAGUUGAUUAGUUUGGGUUCAUUGAGAAAGUUUAUCGAUAUUUAUUAUUAGGUACAGUUAGCUAAUAAUUAAUUAGUAUUUUUUUAUUAAUAAGUAUUAUUGGGUUAAAUUAAUUAUUAUAUACCGUAAUAGUUGCAUGAUUAUUAUAAUUUUGUUAUUUAGUCUUAAUACAUAAAUUAAUUUGGUUUAUUUCAGGAAUUGCAGAUUUCUUUAUUUCAAUUUACUUAGUAUUUGAUUAUUUAACAUUUGUGAAUAUAUAUAUUAUGAAAUUGGUAUAGAAUUGUAUUUUGUAUCCAUUCAAGUAAAUAUAUUGAUAAUGUAAUGAAAGCAUUUUGCGAAAAGAUGUUUAAAUAUACAUGUUAAAAUUGUGUUUAGGAGGGGACAUUUUGUUUAACAUGCAAAAUCUUGUGUAUUUACAGAACUACAAUUUACACAAACACAAUAAUUAUACAAAUUAGUUUUUGUAGGCUAUUAUGCAUGUACUAUAUAAUUAAAGUUUUGUAACCUGCCUGUAUAUAUUUAUUUGACCCAUGUUUAGGAAGGGACAUUUUUUAACGGAAAUAUUUAGGCUCUAUGUUACAAUAAAUAUCUCAAAGUAAAUAACAAAGUUAUAUCGAUUUUUGUUCUUGUCACAACUGUAGGUGUCUAUUGUGAUUAUAGUAAUACAAAAAUAAUUGUUGUAAAAUGUUAUUUGAAUUAUUUAUAGGUCAAUGUUCAUAACAGGACAUCUUCGAAUUUUUUUAACGGAAAACAGGGUUAGUUCUUUAAAAUACUGUAAAUUUAUAACACAACAUCCAGUUUCGAUAUUGUUGGUAAAAAAACAUGUUUACCAGUAGUCUAGUAUUCAAAUAAAUACAAAUAAAAGUAUCUAUUUCACAUUACAUUAUUAUUAAAAUAGUGAUGGAAUAAUGCAAAAAUGCAAAUGAGACUCGUAAAUGUGUUAUUUUGAUAUAGAAAUAUUCACUACUUGAUGAAAAAUCAAGUUAUUGCAAUAACAUUUGGUUUGUAGGUUGCUAUACCAUUCCAGUACCAGUAGGCACCAUUUAGAAAGUUUGUAUCAACCAGAGGGGUUUCGCCUGAUGCUGUUGUCUCUGCUUCAAAGCAAGGCAUUAGAUCUGCCUUUAUACCAAGGCACAGUGUACCUCUUAGUGACAGAGAUGGUGAACAAGCAUGCUUUUCAUGAAAUGGUUUUAUAUAAAUUUUAACUUUAUUCAUUAUGAAGUUACAUGCCAAUUUCAUCGGUUUCUUUUUGACACAAACAGACUAUAUACGGUUAGCACAUAGUUAUCAUUCAACAAAGAACAGUGUGACAACUGGAGGGCUGGUUGAAUUUGAGAAGGGCCAGUAAGAUUUGACUUCAACUGGCCCUGCUGGCGACCAUGGUUUUCAUGUUAAUAUUCAACCCUGGAAUACAUGUUAACUAUGAACGUUUGAAGUCUAUUUGUUUGUUGUUGUUUUUGUUUUGUUUUGUUUUGUUUUGUUUUGUUUUUCGGGGUGGGUGGUUGGUUUGAGGAUACAUAAAACAUAGAAUAGUAUAUCUUAUGAUUGUUGUUGUUUUUUAUGUUGUUGUGAAGACUAAAGAGGCAAACACAAUUAUUCGUAUAUACGUAUAUACAUUUGCGUUCAAUAUACAUACAAAUAGCUCUGUCCAAAUAAGUAAGUAUGAACAAAUUAUUCUGCGUUUACGUCGUUCUUAAGCGGUACUUUGAAUGUGGGUCUGCAGAUCAGUUUUGACGAACACGUGACAUCAUAGUGUUGUAUCACAAGAGGUAGUUUUCUCACGUUCUCCGAAAAGAGAAAUGAAGAUGUAAAAAAAGAAAAAAGUUUUGUUUUAUUUAACGACACCACUAAAGCACAUUGAUUUACUAAUCAUCGGCUAUUGGAUGUGAAACAUUUGUAAUUCUAAUGUAAAUAUAAAUAAUUAUAAUAAUAAUUAAAAUACUAGUCCAAAUACAAAUUACCAUAAGCGUACGAGAUAGGGAGCGGGGUUGGGGCAGGGGCAACAGCCCCCUCCCUCUAGUGCUGUGGGAAAACCUCAAAUUUGGGCAAAAUACGCCGACCCGAUAACUUCUUACCUUGCAUUUCCACCAUGCUGCCCUCAAAAUUAGUUGUAAUCCAUGCCAAUAUACGCGGUAAUGAUAAUACAGGGCGACCAACCUAAUGGAAAUAUUUUUCCGGAAUUUUCUAAUAUUUUUAUUUUUAUGCGCGUGAACGCCUUUUUCAAAGCAAUAAUUUAAAGUGCGCGAGAACGUAAUUUGCAUAAAAGCAAUUUGACAUAUGUUUGCAAAAUGACAAUACAAAUGAGUAUAUCAUUAUUUAUAUGUGAAUUGGAACUUCCUCAUAAAAAGACACCCCCCACACCUACACAAACACGUUCACACAAAAAACCUACUUUAUUAGCAAAUAUUGUAUUACAGUUUAAGACUCCCACCUACAGAUUAGCAAUAAAAUGACAAAGAGACUUGGGACCAAUGUUAUUUUUAUGUAGGUACAUUGCCACAUAUGCACUAUUUCAUUAUUGCAUGUAGUGGGGUCGAACUGAUUUGAGGCGACCUGGUUCGGGGUCAAAACGUCUGCUACCCACAUUAAGACUAGCUGCCGUUUUGCAUUACGCUUACAUUACUAUUACAGUAACACUUUUGGGGAGCUAGUGUACAGAAAACAAAUCGCGUUAUUAUUCAACUUACUUGAAUAAAAUGAUAUCGGUAGGUAUACUAAUGUCAUGGAUGCGUCAUAUAAUAGAUUAGUGGUGGUCAAAUAUUAUUUAGUCAAAUGUUGCAUGUGAAAGAAGACAAUUGUCGGUUUGGGUUGUUGUUGUUGUUUUUAUUUUGUUUUGUUUUGUUUGUUUAUUUUUUUUUUUUUUUUUUGUACGAUCGUAGCGUUCUUCUGUUAUAUAUUCAUGCUUUUAUCCAUGGUGACAAAAUUGCAUACAUCGCCAUAGAACCGAUGCUUUCCCCAUAGGAACAUAAUUCUAUGAUAUUUAAAAUAUCUUUAAAAUGAAUACAUAAACUAUUCGAGUAUAAAAAAUAAGAAAGGAAAUUUUCGUAUAUGGCUUCAGUUUAGUCGACAUUUUCAUUGCUCGGUGGUCGAAAAUAGACGCACGCCCGCGGCCUUGGUAAUGGCACAAAACUAGACAAAACGGAGUCCAGAUUGAAAUGAGUGAUAAAGAUAUUUAAUUCUAAGAAUGUAGAAUGUAAUAAGAAUUAGUUGCUUAAAAAACCCAAUUCGAGUGAAUUUGAAAAAAAUUCCGAAUAUUUGGCAUCAAUUCCGGAAUUCCGAGUAUGUGAUGAAAAUUCUGGAUUUUUCGGAAAAUUCAGUAAAGUUGGUCGGCCUGAUAUGAUAUGAAUAAAUGUUGUUAUCCAGAUUCGGGCAUCUUCGUAUAAUGCGGGCAAAAACCAGCCUGCCCCACUACAAGAAUGAUAGCCCGUACAUCUAUUCAAAUUACAAUUAUCUUUACAGUUCGCUGCCCCACAGAGUACGGGUACGUGCUGUUUGGCAACAUAAACAUGUGCUUUAAGGCGUUCGCCAGUGUCCACACGAUGUAUAACGCACGUUACAGAUGCACACAAUUAGGUGACAGAUUGAUUGUCCUGAACACCGCAGCGAAAACCUCAGCAAUCAAUAAUUACUUCAAGCAUCAUCAGCUCGAGAAGUGUACAUAGUCGGCCUGACGGACCUAUCGAUGGAGGGCGUGUUUGUUUGGGAUGACGGAACCAUGGCUACUGGCAUCAACUGGGAGCCUGGAGAACCUAACAACAGGAACAAUGAAGACUGCGCAGC